UCGCAUGAAUUUUAUGUGACAAAAAAUCAGAUGACGAGCACAACAGCAUGUAGCAGCAUUCUCCAACAAAAAAAAAAAAGGCAUGUGGCAUCCACUUGUCACACACAUAGAGGUCUUUUCAACCAAUUCGCGGCCGGUCAAGCUCCGGGUAGCCAAGCACCGCCAAUAGGUGGGAGAAAGGAAAGAUUCAGUUUAACCCCUCAAUUUGAAAAUUAAAAUUGAAAGUGGCAGAGGUUUUGAGGGUUUGAAAUUAUGGACAUGGAUGUUGAUGAACCAACCAAAGGCGAAGAAGAAAAGCAAGGAAAGCCCAUAAUCGUAGUAUUGAUGGGUGCACCCGGUAGUGGCAAGUCCACAUUCUGCGACCAAGUCAUGGGCUCCUCUGUUCGUCCCUGGGUCCGGGUCUGCCGGGAGUUAUUGUAGUAUGCGUGACUGGACAAUGCUGUGUUUUCAUUUGGAUUUCUGGUGUUUGUUAGGAUACUAUCAAGAAUGGUAAAGCCGGAACGAAAGCUCAGUGUAUAGAGAGUGCGAGGAGUGCAUUGAGGGAAGGAAAGAGUGUGUUUAUAGAUAGAUGCAAUCUGGAGAAAGAACAAAGGGAUGAGUUUGUGAAGCUGGUUGGUCCUCAAGUGGACGUUCAUACUGUGAUGCUUGAUCUUCCUGCUAAGCUUUGUAUAUCACGGUUGGUGAAGCGAACUGGCCAUGAGGGGAACUUGCAAGGCAGAAAAGCUGCGGCUGUUGUGAAUAGAAUGCUGCAGAAGAAAGAAUUGCCGAAUCUGAGCGAAGGGUUUGGUAGGAUCACUUUUUGCCAGAAUGAGAGUGAUGUUGAAUCUGCCAUUUGUAGUUUUGUACAUAUAGUAGACUCUUUCCGGUGGAUACACUUCCCCAUGGCACUUUUGGCCAGAAGAGCCCUGGUGCAAAAGUUCAACUUGGUAUAAUGAAAUUCGUAAAGAAAACAGAUGCUCCUACUAAUACUGAAUCGACUUCGAACAAGGUUCAGGAUUCUAAUGCUUUUCAAAUUAUUGGGGGAAAGGAUACCAGUUUGAAAGGAACAGGUUUGUUUACUGAAAGUUGUAGUAUGGAGUCCAAGAAAGGUGAACGGCCUGUUGUAGGUUCUGCUGGCACUGAUGACUCUCUUGACAAUGCUCCCACUCUGGCAUUUCCAUCUAUUUCCACAGCAGAUUUUCAGUAUGACAUUAAGAAGGCAUCUGACAUUAUUGUAGAGAAAGUUGUAAAAUUUGUAAAUAAACUUGGAAAUGCCAGACUUUUUUUAGUGGACUUGACUCAUAAAUCGAAGAUUUUGUCUUUGAUAAAGCUUCACAGAAAAACAUUGACUCCAACAGGUUCUUCACAUUUGUAGGAGAUAUCACUAAGCUUCAUUCAGAAGGAGGUCUUCGCUGCAAUGUGAUAGCUAAUGCUGCUAACUGGCAACUUAAACCAGGAGGUGGUGGUGUCAAUGCUGGAGAUCCUGUGUUUUCAAAGCAAACCCAAAACGAACAUAAGAGAUGCAAUGGCAAUUCCAAACCCAAAUGGAACUCCAAUUUCAACACUGAUGAUGUCUCAAUCAAUCUUAUGUCCAGAAUUGGUGGCUUCCAUUUGAUGUUGGUGCUGACAAUUCUGCUGUGUUGUCCACCGUUAAAGGAGGUCCCCAUAAUCCUUUGUUGCCUUCAAAAGGAGUCUUUUGAAAAUGUUUAAAACUGAGUACUGGUUGGGAUCCUUCCCACAAGUUGAUUAUUUGAGAGAUUCAAAAAUGAAAGGAAAUUGAUCUUCGUGAGCUGUGGUGGAAUUUCGCCACUGAGGUUGUUCCUUGACAAGUCUAAGGACUCAACAUGUCUUAAGUUACCCAAAGAUGAUGGGAUUUCACCUGUGAGAGCAUUACUAGACAAAUUGAGGACAUGGAGUGAUUUGAGUUCUCCAAUUCCUCAGGUAUUGAUCAACUGAAUUUGUUGCCCGAGAAGUCAAUUGAGGUGAAAAUGGUUAGAAUCUUUACCAGGUUCAUCUCUUGGCCUUUGUUGGAUACAGUUAUUGCAUCAUCAUAAGACAACUGAUCAGAGAAUCUGAAAACCUAAACCUGAAGGUGUUUGAGUUCUGACCUGGAAUCAUCAGCCAUCAUUGCUUUCCAAUUUCUCACACAUCUUCUUGACACUGGACCACAAAAGUUGUUGUGAGAUAUGUCAAUAAUUUGAAGAAUUGACCAUGUGUCAUAGGUCUUCGGACAUCCAAUUCGGCCAUAAAGUUUGUUGGAUCUGAAAAUGAGGACAAGCAAAAUGGCCAUUUUACUCAACAAGCAUGGAAAGGUACUAGUGGUCUGAUUAUUUCCAAGGUUCACAACCUCUAACAAUCUGCAGUUGGCUAAAGAUUCUGGAAGCUGGCCUUGUAUUUGAUUUCCAUUAAGGUCUAGGGUUUUUAAGCUGCACCAUUGAGGAAAUGUUGCCAGUGAGGUUGUUUGUCCGUAAAUUCAGUACUACAAAACUCCUGGUCGUUGCAGGCAAGCAUCGAGGCAUCAUGCCACUCAAAGAAUUGUUGGACAGAUUAAGAACCUCAAGAUAUGGUGCAUUGCAUAUUGAUUCUGGAAUGAUCCCAUUGAACAUAUUGCUUGCAAGAGAAAGGAAAACAGUGCAACUGAGGAAAUCACCAAUGCCGAGCGGUAUGCUAGAGCUGAAAUUAUUCCUCGAGUAGUCCAAAUAAGUUGGAAAUAGUGGGGAAAAUGGGAUUUGUCCCUGAAGCUGGUUGGAAUGGAGGUCAAGCACGUCCAGAGCAGAACUAAGAUUAAGAAUGGGACCUUCUAGAGUUACCAGGGAGUUGCAAGACAGAUUUAGUUGAUGAAGAUAACUGAGCCUCCAAACUCAGUUGGGUAUCUCUCCAUCAAUCUGGUUCUGUGAAAGGUCCAAAUAGCUCAAUUUGGAUUGGUUUCUCAAGAAAUCAGGGAAUGCUCAGAGCUGUCCAGAAGCCAAGUUUAAUGUGGUAAUAGUAGGAAAGAAGGACUCUGAGGAAUUUGUACUAUAAUAACUAAUUGGCAAACUAUUGUGUGAAAGAUCCAAGACUGGAGAGAUUUUUGAGCUGUUGAAUACUGUCAAGAGGGAAGGUGCCACUGAAGUUGUUAGAAGAAAGUGAAAGAAACUUGAGCCCUCGGAGAGUCAAGAUAGACAUGGGUAAAGGCCCUUUCAAAUUGUUGCUACUCAAAUCAAGGGUGUCCAGUGGAGCGAUAUUGGCAAAUUCAAGCAACUGACCAGAGAACUGAUUGUUGGAGAGCAGUAGGUGCUUCAGUGAGGGAAGAUAAAAUAGAGACAAUGGAAUACUGCCAUCCAGUUUAUUGUUACCCAAGUUGAGGUUGACCAGAUUUGUAAGAUUUUGCCAGUGAGUAGAGUUAAUUUGACCUUCUAGCUCAUUGUGAGAAAGAUUUAUGUUGGUCAGAUUCUUGGUCAUACUCAACAAUGGAACUGAACCAUUAAACUUGUUCGCUGACAUGUCCACAUAAACCAGUUCCGUAAG